CCUUCCCCCGUCCCUACUAGCCCACCCCAUGGUGGUGAUCCGUGUCUGGGCUCUCUCAGAGAUACCAUGGAAGUUCUCCACCAGGAAAUCUGCUGUGCAAUCUACUCAGUGGUUUCUUAUCAAGCUUGGCUCAUUGAAACUCAAAGUACAUAUAGAAUGUGCUUUGACAGGUAAGUAGAACAAUGAGAUUUGUACAGAAGCAGCAGUUACGAGAGCACUGCUCAUCAUGAAGCUUACUUAUGAGGAAAGAAGAAACCACAAAGGUACGAUAGAAAGGAUGGGUUUGAUGAUACUGACGUGUACUCUGAAUUCUUGCUUCACAAGCUUUCACCGGGAGGACGGCAGUCUCAGGAGGAGAGGCUAGAAAGAUGGGGAAACUGAGGCACUGAGCAAGAACGUGACAUCCUUGGUCACAUGGCAAGAUGGAGACAAAGCUAGGGCCAAAGCCAUGUCUCCAAGAGCCUCAGCCCUGUGCUUUUUCCUCCUGUAGUAUGCUGCCUUCAGAAGUCAAAUAUAGAGCCCAGGAAGACAUAUCUUUCAUAUCAAAUCUGUCAAUAAAAUGCUGCAUUUAUAAAAAUAUCAUUUGAACCCUGAAAAAUACUUCAUUAAAACACAACGAGCUUCCUUGAAAAUACUCCAGAGCAAAGUUUCCCAGGUUUGGGGGA
ensembl:lncRNA